rnacentral:rRNA from 1 species
UGUUAUCCGUCUAGUCGAAGGCGGCACUGCCUGCCUUUCGGCCAAGUCCCCGGGCAUACCACAUCCCCUCCGUGGAGGGGGGGUUGAACGGGGCAAAAGAACCCACGGCGCCGACGGCGUCAAGGAACACUAUGCCUAACCCGAGGGUGCGGCUGGCUCGCUAGCCGCCCCUCGUGUUGCGAUGCUAUCUAAUCCACACGACUCUCGGCAACGGAUAUCUCGGCUCUCGCAUCGAUGAAGAACGUAGCGAAAUGCGAUACCUGGUGUGAAUUGCAGAAUCCCGCGAACCAUCGAGUCUUUGAACGCAAGUUGCGCCCGAGGCCACCCGGCUGACGGCACGCCUGCCUGGGCGUCACGCCAAAACACGCUCCCACCACCCUCAUUGGGUUAGCGGGACGCGGCGUCUGGCUCUCCGUGCCGUGAGGCAACGGUGGGCCAAAGAUCGGGCUGCCGGUGUACCGUGCCGGACACAGCGCGUGGUGGACUUCUACUCAGCGCAGUGCAUUCGGUAUGUUGUCGGCGUAGCGGCCCCAGGACCCAAUGAACGGAGUGCAGGUCACUCCGACCGCGACCCCAGGUCAGGCGGGACUACCCGCUGAGUUUAAGCAUAUAAAUAAGCGG